AUACUUUUAGCCGACAAGGUCUUCCUUUGUCUGUUUUCCUUUUGUGUUUUUAUAUACGCAUAUAUUUUCUAACUCUGUUUUUGUUUCUUGCAGAUUUUUAUAUGCAUCACCCCGGAGGUAUCCCCGAACGCGUCGGACAAAACGAGACGGGUUCCAAAGUUUAUGCCGCUGCCUCCAAACCUUCUGACGCUGAUCAUCUGAGGCAGCGUGCGCUAGAGAACGCCUACACAAUGGCGAAGUCCCCUACUCCUGAUGAGGCCCGACGAACUGAGGAAGGGGAGGUACC
rnacentral:lncRNA from 1 species